rnacentral:tRNA from 1 species
GCCGGCGUAGCUCAGUUGGUAGAGCAGCUGAUUUGUAAUCAGCAGGUCACUGGUCCGAUUCCAGCCGCCGGCUCCA